UACGUAGGGUGCGAGCGUUAAUCGGAAUUACUGGGCGUAAAGCGUGCGCAGGCGGUUUUGUAAGCCAGAUGUUAAAUCCCCGGGCUUAACCUGGGAAUGGCAUUUGGGACUGCAAGGCUUGAGUGCGGCAGAGGAGACUGGAAUUCCUGGUGUAGCAGUGAAAUGCGUAGAUAUCAGGAGGAAUACCGAUGGCGAAGGCAGGUCUCUGGGCUGACACUGACGCUCAUGCACGAAAGCGUGGGGAGCAAACAGG
rnacentral:rRNA from 1 species